rnacentral:rRNA from 1 species
GAGGAAUUUUCCGCAAUGGGCGCAAGCCUGACGGAGCGACGCCGCGUGAGGGAUGACGGCCUUCGGGUUGUAAACCUCUUUUAUUAAGGAAAAAGGUUAUCGUGCUAAUACCACGGUAAUUUGAUGGUACUUAUUGAAUAAGCCCCGGCUAACUACGUGCCAGCAGCCGCGGUAAUACGUAGGGGGCGAGCGUUGUCCGGGGUUACUGGGCGUAAAGAGCGUGUAGGCGGUUGGAAAAGUCAGGUGUGAAAUUUUUCGGCUCAACCGAGAAACUGCGCCUGAAACUUGCCGACUGGAGUUCGGGAGGGGCAACUGGAAUUCCUGGUGUAACGGUGAAAUGUGUAGAUAUCAGGAGGAACACCCGUGGCGAAGGCGGGUUGCUGGACCGAAACUGACGCUGAGACGCGAAAGCGUGGGUAGCAAAC